GACGAACGCUGGCGGCGUGCUUAACACAUGCAAGUCGAACGGAAAGGCCCUGCUUUUGUGGGGUGCUCGAGUGGCGAACGGGUGAGUAACACAUGAGUAACCUGCCCUUGACUUUGGGAUAACUUCAGGAAACUGGGGCUAAUACCGGAUAGGAGCUCCUGCUGCAUGGUGGGGGUUGGAAAGUUUCGGCGGUUGGGGAUGGACUCGCGGCUUAUCAGCUUGUUGGUGGGGUAGUGGCUUACCAAGGCUUUGACGGGUAGCCGGCCUGAGAGGGUGACCGGCCACAUUGGGACUGAGAUACGGCCCAGACUCCUACGGGAGGCAGCAGUGGGGAAUAUUGCACAAUGGGCGGAAGCCUGAUGCAGCAACGCCGCGUGCGGGAUGACGGCCUUCGGGUUGUAAACCGCUUUCGCCUGUGACGAAGCGUGAGUGACGGUAAUGGGUAAAGAAGCACCGGCUAACUACGUGCCAGCAGCCGCGGUGAUACGUAGGGUGCGAGCGUUGUCCGGAUUUAUUGGGCGUAAAGGGCUCGUAGGUGGUUGAUCGCGUCGGAAGUGUAAUCUUGGGGCUUAACCCUGAGCGUGCUUUCGAUACGGGUUGACUUGAGGAAGGUAGGGGAGAAUGGAAUUCCUGGUGGAGCGGUGGAAUGCGCAGAUAUCAGGAGGAACACCAGUGGCGAAGGCGGUUCUCUGGGCCUUUCCUGACGCUGAGGAGCGAAAGCGUGGGGAGCGAACAGGCUUAGAUACCCUGGUAGUCCACGCUGUAAACGGUGGGUACUAGGUGUGGGGUCCAUUCCACGGGUUCCGUGCCGUAGCUAACGCUUUAAGUACCCCGCCUGGGGAGUACGGCCGCAAGGCUAAAACUCAAAGGAAUUGACGGGGCCCCGCACAAGCGGCGGAGCAUGCGGAUUAAUUCGAUGCAACGCGUAGAACCUUACCUGGGUUUGACAUGGAUCGGGAGCGCUCAGAGAUGGGUGUGCCUCUUUUGGGGUCGGUUCACAGGUGGUGCAUGGCUGUCGUCAGCUCGUGUCGUGAGAUGUUGGGUUAAGUCCCGCAACGAGCGCAACCCUUGUUCACUGUUGCCAGCACGUUAUGGUGGGGACUCAGUGGAGACCGCCGGGGUCAACUCGGAGGAAGGUGGGGAUGACGUCAAGUCAUCAUGCCCCUUAUGUCCAGGGCUUCACGCAUGCUACAAUGGCUGGUACAGAGAGUGGCGAGCCUGUGAGGGUGAGCGAAUCUCGGAAAGCCGGUCUCAGUUCGGAUUGGGGUCUGCAACUCGACCUCAUGAAGUCGGAGUCGCUAGUAAUCGCAGAUCAGCAACGCUGCGGUGAAUACGUUCCCGGG
rnacentral:rRNA from 1 species